rnacentral:rRNA from 1 species
AGUGAGCGGGAUGAGCUCAAAUUUAAAAUCUGGCUGGUUUACUAGUCCGAAUUGUAGUUUAUAGAAGCGUUUUCGGUGGCAGCCUGGGUAUAAAUCCUUUGGAAUAGGGUAUCAUAGAGGGUGAGAAUCCCGUCUUUGACUCAGUGCAUGCUACUAUGUGAUACGUUUUCAAAGAGUCGAGUUGUUUGGGAAUGCAGCUCAAAAUGGGUGGUAAAUUUCAUCUAAAGCUAAAUAUUGGCGAGAGACCGAUAGCGAACAAGUACCGUGAGGGAAAGAUGAAAAGAACUUUGAAAAGAGAGUUAAACAGUGCGUGAAAUUGUUGAAAGGGAAACGUUUGACACCAGUUAUGCGGGUGGAAAAUCAGUCUUUUGCAAUGGGGAGUUGUGGGCGUUCAGACCGCAAGGCUGGCGUUUGCUUCAUCUUUGUUGUAAGUGAUGCACUUUUUCAUUUGCAGGUCAACAUCAGUUUGCUUUGCUGGACAAAACCCCAAGGGAAGGUGGCAGCUUAGGCUGUGUUAUAGCCCUGGGGCGAUACAGUGGAGUGGACUGAGGUUUCGCAGUGUGUGCUCUCGGGCAAGGCUGACUGGGUGCUAUGGGAUCGUUCGGCGUACAAUGCAUGCAUUUUGCGUCGUGUCUUUUUCAUACUCGCUCAACUCGGCUCUUCCACACUUAGGAUGUUGACUUAAUGGUUUUAAACGACUCGUCU